GUUCCCCACAAGCCAGCCCAUGAGGAUCUAUUCCAGCCUGUGGAACGCUGACGACUGGGCAACACAGGGUGGGCGGGUCAAGACCGACUGGUCCAAGGCGCCGUUCACCGCAUCUUUCCGGAACUUCAACGCUGAAGCUUCAGCCGGAGGUGCCUGGUACAACCAGGAGCUGGACUCGGCUAGCGAGAGGAGGUUGAGAUGGGUGCAGAGGAAUUACAUGAUCUACAACUACUGCACCGACCUGAAGAGGUUUCCUCAGGGACUGCCUCCAGAGUGCUCGC
rnacentral:misc_RNA from 1 species